rnacentral:lncRNA from 1 species
AUAAUAAUGAUUUUUUUAUCUAUCUAUCUACUAUUCGAAAAUAGAGAGAGAAAUGGUGAUUAAUCUAUCUACACAUGGCUUUACCUUCCAAACUUGUUUGAAAAAUCCCAUCCCAUGUAUUCCAAGCCCCAAGACAAGCAAUUGUGUCAAGUUUAGUGUUGGAGGUCAGCUUUCGUUCCUUCAAACAAUCUCAGCAAGUGUGAAUAGUUGACAGGUUGAUCCACUUUAGUACCUAUAUCUGCAAUUAGUAACUCUAGAAUGGUGCUAAAGAGUGGUUAGAUAACAAGAAAAAAUCUAUAAGUUCAUUAUCCCCUUCUUGACUCAGUAAAACUUUUUGAAAAACGUUUUAAUAAGACUCAUAAAUAAAUUACUAU